AGGCCAGGAGGGGGAGUUGUGGAAUAGUCUUCUCUAGCUCAGGCAACAGCCAGCUCGAUGAUAGGUGUCUUUGCUCUACCUCCUGAGCCCCCAACGUCCUACUGCGCCGCUGCCGUCCGUCAAAAAGGACAUCCAAAUCAUGUUGUGAUCGUUAGGCUGGACACAAAAAGUGUGUGUGUGUGUGUGUGUGUGUGUGUGUGUGUGUGUGUGUGUGUGUGUGUGUGUGUGUGUGUGUGUGUGUGUGUGUGUGUGUGUGUGUGUGUGUGUGUGUGUGUGUGUGUGUGUGUGGGGGGGGGGCGGGGGGUGCAGGUGGUUUAACUUAUUUAAGAGUGGCGCAAGAGUUACAAUAAUGUGGGAGUAGGUAGAAAGUGGUGGAGAGAAAGAGACAAUGGAAGAAGCAUUGAUUCUCGAGAUUAUGGACUUCAAAGUCAAUAAUAGGUUACCUGAUGCCGGCCUAACAAAACAAUAGAGAUGCACGAUAUAAAGAAGAUAACACUUUGCUCAAGGAUGGAGAGCUUCAUUACGUUUGUAGAAGACGGAAGGAGAGCGAGCGUUUGGAUGAGGUAGUCACCUCAGCUGCCAAGGCCAACAUAAUAUUCGAAGAAAUGCUCUGCAGUUCUAUCUGUGGUCACUACGAUGUGGAGAAAAACGCACAAUGCGGUGAUCAGCCGAAACGACUGGCCUGGCAUGGAGGCGGACAUCCGCAAAUGGACUACAGAAAGGGAAGUCUGGGGCCCGCUGCUUGAGCUGCUCCCCCCGCGACCCAACCCCGGAUAUAUAUAUGAAGAUGAGAUGAGGAGAGAUGAUAAUUGACUUCAGGUGGCCCAGUGUCCUGAGUGCCAAAGAAAUCAGGCCAGUCUCAAAGAAAGUACCCACUACUGUACCACCAGAGGUAACAACCGUUUGAGCUGGUGGGGAGGAACCUCAUGAGGCGCAGUUUAACAGAGUGGUAAUCAUUACAUUUGUGUGAUGGUUGAUUAUUUCACCAAGUGGGCAGCGGCCUACCCUCUGAAGAGUAAGUCUGCAGAGGAGGUGAGCAAUUGUAUUCUUGAUACAACUUUAAGAACCAGGUAGCUAGAGAACCUUCCGUAUAUCUUAGGGAUAAGGAACUGCAGCCUGCAAUUUUCAGCAUUAGGACCAAGAACUAGUUAACAAAAAAGUAUAGCCCAUCUUUUGUUGUUGUUUGGCAGGAAGGCAAAUACCCAUCUUAUGUGCCACAGAACCUAAGGUAAGUGGCUCUAUUUGUAUAGGUCGUCAGGGAGUGUGGUCAUUAUUACUUGACUAAAUAGGUGAGAUUUUAACACCACUUGGUAUCUUUGUACUUUAGGUGACACUGAGAAGGUGGAGCGUUUGCUGAUGAGGGAGGCGGUUUUUAAAGGACUCUCAAAGCAGACAAACGUACAUAAAACUAAAAUACAGUCCUACAAGCGUCCAAAAGAAGCAGGAGAAAAUCCGUAAACUGAAGCUGGAGAUCGUGUGCUCAAAAAAGGUGGAGGAACGCAGUAAAAAGGGGUCUCGCUGGGGCCUUUCAAAAUAAUCGCACUUUGCCAUGCUGGCGGGGGCAAGUAUCGACCUCCUCACCCCCUUCAUUGAGCCAGAGGAGCGUCAAGAGAUAAUACCAGGGGAGAGUCAGCCCACCCAAAGUAAUGGUACAUUACAUUCAGUUAUGUGACUUUAAGGAUAAUAAUGCCAUCCGGUCUUUUAAAUCAGGGGUCCCCAACCUUUUCAGCAUCAAGGACCGGUAUGAUUCUCCGAAAAGUUUCACGGACCGGGGGUUGGGUUAUGUUGCGCAGAGGUCGCCAAAAAUGCAAACAUGUUAUAUGCAAUCUAACAACCGCAUAUAGACUUAUGGCAUGUAAAAGAGUGACAGUAUUGCGAAGUGAAAAAAAAAAAAAGAAAAAAUUAAAAUAAAUAAAUAAUCUUUCUCUGCGGACCGGUACCAAAUGACCCACGGACCGGUCCCGGUCCGCGGACCGCUGUUUUAAAUGACUUGUGUUCUGAUUUUCCAGUUUUCCAACAAAUAUGGACUAGGGAAAAGGGGAGAUUCUGUGGUCCAAAAUCGGGCCAUGUAUCAAAUAUUCUCGGCAGAUCCCCAGAGCCAGGCCCCCGGGAAGGAAUUGGAGAGAGAGAGCUAAGUCUUGUUUUGUGAUUCAAAUAUGUCCUCUUUGAUUAAGAAAGUUAAUUAGAAUCAUUUUCGUUUAUCUUGUAAAGGCUUACCUCUCCUGUGGGUAAAAAAUGGGCCAGGGUCAAAUUUAAAGUAACUUUGAGAUGAUGUGCCAUUUGGAAGGGCAGGUCACGGGGGACGAGGGGGGUAAGGACAAUGUAUUUAUUAUCUAUUUAACCAUCUUAAAAAACGAAACUAAUCACUUUCAGCUAGAUAUGAUGGAGUGGGACAUCCGAUCCUCAUCGGGGCGGUCUGCAAGGAUGGACAUUGGACAUUGCCCUUUAAUUAUUGCAAUGAUGAAUCUAUAAGGAAAAGAUCUCUCAACAUUUCUCGAUAAUGAGACUACAAGGAGUGGAGUUUGUUUAGAUUUCUCUUUCUCUCUCUCUUAUAUAUAUAUAUAUAUAUACACAUACAUUGACAUCCACCCCUCCAUGGGACCACAUAGACAUUAUUAUUUGGUCAAGGUUCAACUGUCAUGUCUAGCGUUUUGGAAAAGGCCUGUAGCUAUCCAACCUUUCACUAAGGUUUCUACUAAUUCUUAAAGAAAAUGUUACAGUUGUAGAUGAAUUGUCAAGCAUUGUCAAGCAGCUAGACACAGGCUGGUUGGGUAUUGUUGAACAUGUAGUCGCUUAAACCACGCUGUGCUAUAGAGCCUCUACUGGUGGGACAUAUAGUACAUUAAACAACACUGUCCUAGACACGGCCUUUACUGGGGGGCACGGUGGGUCAUGUGGUCCAGUAAACUACACUGUUGCUUCCUGCAUUAUAUCCUUUAUGAUUAUCUGUUUCUAUCGUAUUGUCUGACCACAGGCUUUAUAUUGGAGGGAAUAGUCAAACAGCGCAUGUGCUUGUGUCUAUAUAGUCAUAUAUUCUGUACUUAUUUCCUGCCUUUUUUUUGUUUACCUUUUCAGAUUUGACUGAACCACUUUGGCUAUAACGCGGGUUCAAUUAAAUUACGCUUGACUUAGUUUGUAUCAAAAGUUUUUUUUUAUUGCAUCAACACGUGUGGGUAUAUCUCAAUACAGAUUGGUUUUUCUGACUUGCAUUUCAAAUUUUCCUUUAGUUUGAUAAAUAUUGCUGUUUUAAAUGUUUGUCUCACCUAAGCCGCAUGCCAACAUUGUAUUUAAUUUACUUUUUAUAUUUUCUUUUUACAUAUCUUUGAUUAGAUUCAUCUUUAUACAAUGUACAAGAUAAAAAUGCCAUGACGCUAAUAAUAAAUUCCUUCUGUUUUUAUGGAUGUAUGAUA